rnacentral:rRNA from 1 species
CACGUAGGGGACGAGCGUUGUCCGGACUCAUUGGGCGUAAAGCGCGCGUAGGCGGCCCGGCAAGUCGGAUGUGAAAACCUGGGGCUCAACCCCAGGCGUGCACCCGAUACUCCCGGGCUGGAGGCAGGUAGGGGAGAUCGGAAUUCCUGGUGUAGCGGUGAAAUGCGCAGAUAUCAGGAGGAACACCGGUGGCGAAGGCGGAUCUCUGGGCCUUGCCUGACGCUGAGGCGCGAAAGCUAGGGGAGCGAACAGG